GACUCUCGACAAUGGAUAUCUCGGCUCUCGCAUCGAUGAAGAACGUAGCAAAAUGCGAUACUUGGUGUGAAUUGCAGAAUCCCGUGAACCAUCGAGUCUUUGAACGCAAGUUGCGCCCCGAGCCUUCUGGUCGAGGGCACGUCUGCCUGGGUGUCA
rnacentral:rRNA from 1 species